rnacentral:rRNA from 1 species
GAAUCUUGGACAAUGGGGGCAACCCUGAUCCAGCGAUGCCGCGUGGGUGAAGAAGGCCUUCGGGUUGUAAAGCCCUUUAGGCUGGGAAGAAGGUUAGUGGAGGAAAUGCCAUUAGCUUGACGGUACCAGCAGAAUAAGCACCGGCAAACUCUGUGCCAGCAGCCGCGGUAAUACAGAGGGUGCGAGCGUUGAUCGGAAUUACUGGGCGUAAAGGGCGCGUAGGCGGUUAUGUGAGUGUGAUGUGAAAGCCCUGGGCUUAACCUAGGAAGUGCAUUGCAAACGACAUAACUGGAGUAGAUGAGAGGGUGGCGGAAUUUCCGGUGUAGCGGUGAAAUGCGUAGAUAUCGGAAGGAACGUCGAUGGCGAAGGCAGCCACCUGGCAUCAUACUGACGCUGAGGCGCGAAAGCGUGGGUAGCGAACAGG